rnacentral:rRNA from 1 species
UAGGAGGCAAGCGUUAUCCGGAAUGACUGGGCGUAAAGGGUGCGUAGGUGGUUUGACAAGUUGGUAGCGUAAUUCCGAGGCUCAACCUCGGCGCUACUACCAAAACUGUCGGACUUGAGUGCAGGAGGGGCAAAUGGAAUUCCUAGUGUAGCGGUGGAAUGCGUAGAUAUUAGGAGGAACACCAGUGGCGAAGGCGAUUUGCUGGACUGUAACUGACACUGAGGCACGAAAGCGUGGGGAGCAAA